rnacentral:lncRNA from 1 species
AGACAUCAACGCAUGCGCCCAGUUUGAGGGUGUCAAUGGGGCACGUUUCUUGCUUCGGCGGCGGAGGCGGACAUGGUGUCUCCGGGGUGGGAGUAGGCGGUGGAUUGACAAUGGGGGGACUUGGAUGGUAAGGGGGUGGCAAUGGUGGGUUUAUGAUGGGGGGUUUGGGGACAAUGGGAGGUGGCUUUGGCACGUAGGGAGGGUUAACAGGGGGCUUUGGCACGUAGGGUGGGUUAACAGGGGGCUUUGGCACGUAGGGUGGGUUAACAGGGGGCUUUGGCACGUAGGGUGGGUUGACUGGGGGCUUUGGUGGCUUAAUGUGGGGGGGAGGGUGGACGACUGGAG